rnacentral:tRNA from 1 species
AAGNAAGUGACAGAAUGGUUAUGUACUUGGCUUGAAACCAGGCUAUGGGGGUUCAAUUCCCUCCUUUCUCG